GAUGAACGCUGGCGGCGUGCCUAACACAUGCAAGUCGAACGAAGAGAGAUGGAUGCUUGCUUCUAUCAAUCUUAGUCGGGAACGGGUGAGUAACGCGUAUUCAACCUGCCCUUCAGAGGGGGACAACAGUGGGAAACGACUGCUAAUACGACAUACGAUCUAACCUCGGCAUCGAGGAAAGAUGAAAGGUUUCCUCUAUGUAUAAGCUAUCACUGACGGAGGGGAUGGCGUCUGAUUAGCUAGUGGGUGGGGUAAGGGCCGACCAAGGCGAUGAUCGUUAGCGGGCUUGAGAGGGUAAUCGCCCACACGGGACUGGAGACCGGGCCCAGACUCUUAGGGGAGGAAGCAGUGGGGAUCAUUCGCCAAUGAGGGAAAUCUGAAUGAAGCACGGCGGGGGGGGGGAAGAGGCCUUUGGGUUGUUAAACCCUUUUAAUCGGGGAGGAAGGCCUGCUUGCGAAUAGUGGGAUGUAUUGACGGUACCGGAAUAGAAAGCCACGGCUAACUACGUG
rnacentral:rRNA from 1 species